GUACACGCUGUGACUAGCAUAUCAAUAAGCGGAGGAAAAGAAACUAACAAGGAUUCCCCUAGUAACGGCGAGUGAAGCGGGAAGAGCUCAAAUUUGAAAUCUUAAAGGGUUUCCCUUUACGAAUUGUAGUUUAAAGGAGUGUUUUCUGUUGAGGUUUUGGUAAAAGUUCUUUGGAAUAGGACAUCAUAGAGGGUGAGAAUCCCGUAUUUGACCUUUACUUUCAACUUUGUGAUACACUUUCAAAGAGUCGGAUUGUUUGGGAAUGCAGUCCAAAAUGGGUGGUAAAUUUCAUCUAAAGCUAAAUAUUGGCGAGAGACCGAUAGCGAACAAGUACCGUGAGGGAAAGAUGAAAAGAACUUUGAAAAGAGAGUUAAACAGUACGUGAAAUUGUCAAAAGGGAAGCGUUUGACACCAGUGUUGUUUUUCUGAAAAUCAAUUAAAGAACUGUUUAUGCUAAGUUGUUUAGACUUUAUCAGCUAACUGUUUAGUUUUGAGCUUUUCUUUAAUGCACUUUUCAGUUAACAAGUCAACAUCAAUUUCUUUUGCUGUAAAAAAGCUUGAGGAAGGUGGCUUGAGAUUCGUCUUAAGUGUUUAUAGCCUCUUGCCUAUGCAGUCGGAGAGAUUGAGGUCUGCAGCGUAGAUCCUUCGGGGCUAAAUGCAUUUGUGCUAAGUUAUAGCAUUUUAUAGACAACUUGUUGACUAUGAUUUGUCUUGUAGCUUACUCGCUUAUGUUAUUUUACCUACGCUUAGGAUGUUGACGCGCGUGUGUGCGUG
rnacentral:rRNA from 1 species